GAAAAAAACAGUUGGAUGAUACUUUGUAAUAACUUAGAUUACGAUAAUGACAUAAUGCUGUGUUAUUAGAUUAUUUGCGAACCGUGAAAUGUCAGCAAAACUUAAAAUGGGUUACACUUUGUAAUUACUUUAACGAACAUUAUAUAAAGCUUUGCAAGAGAAACCAAAGUUUCAGGACAUGUCUGUUAGAACGUACAAGAUCAUUUAUUUAGCAUUAUAUAAUGUAGUAAUGAAGGUUAUUGUAAAUGUUGCCAAGCUGAAGCAUUUUUUCCACCCCCUCCCCUUCUAUGCAAAGAAAACAAGUUUAAAACACCACAACAGAUUUAUUUGCAGGUUGUGGAACAUCCGCUUCAUCUGUUUUCCUCAUAACAAAAAACUUUUUGACAGUUCUCCACAAAAGAUAUUGAUGUUUUACUGCUGUGUCAAAACCUUGACAUGGGAACAACAUUUCAGAAGUGGAGAAAUACAAAGUUGCUCCAUCCAAAUAAUCCUCUCAAAAGCCAAAUCAGAGCUUAGGAAAGGAAAAUAAUAAGUUCAUAACCUCUACGCACGUGGUGUGUGUGUCUUGAGUUUAGAGUUGGCAGGAAAGUUUGUCCUGGGAAAUUCAGCCGUAUCCAUGGAAACAAGCAGUUCUCCAGAGAAAAGUGAAACUGCCUUUUCAAAUGCCCUCAACUGCAUGUGUUGUUUACUUUGUUUUGGCUAUACUUUAUUGUGGCUUUCAUUAAAACGGUAUUAGUUUCACUGUAAAACAUAGUGAAACUGCACAAGUGUUACUGCUCCUGCCUGAUCUUAUUGGUUUCAACUUUAUGUAGUCAAGUUGAUUAUAUCAAAUAAAGUAAUUAUUUUUAAAUUAACCCGGUUGUUUUAGAUCUUACCAUAUGAAACGGAUUCCUUAGGUGACGUAUUUAUAAUAUUUCCAGUCAGAUAUUUUCAUAUUAAAAACAUUUUCAUAUUUAAACGUAGACUGAAAAAAAAGAGCAAAUUAAAUAAGUCAAAAGAAAAUAAAAACAUACUUGAAAAAGUUCUUGGUUAGUGUUUUUGUCUUGUUUUACAGAUAUCUACUAAUAUCUGAACGUUUGAGAAGCAAAAUGUAAAAAAUCAAACAAAAAAUCACUAAUUUGAAUAUAAAUAUCUGACAGUGGGUCAAGAAAAAUAAUCUUGUUUUUUUUUUCUUUCAGCAUUGGGUGAUAUUUUUCUUGUUUUAAGCACAAACAAAAUUUUGAUACAUUUUCCAGAAAACAAUGUUUUAAGUCAUUUUACUUCUGAAGUAGAUACAUCUCGAUUCAAGAAUCUUUAGAUUCAAGACAAAGACAAAAAUACUAAGUUGUUUUCUUUUCUUUGUUUUUGCAGUAUGUAAACUACUAAUUAAUUUGACAUUAUGUAAGUUUGAUCAUGACUUAUUAAUGGAAGUUAUUAUGAAGUGUAAAAUUUCCCUGCCACUUCCCAAAGACUUUUUCAUCUGCACAAAUCCUAGCAAAUUGUUGUCCUGUUAGUUUGUUGACGCAAUUCCUGCUUUCUGCAUUACUGCUAGUAAUAUUAGUUCACGCCCCAUCGGUUUCAGAUGAUUUAAUGUGUCAAAACAACAUUUACAACAGGGAUGAGGGGAUAAACACUUCAAUUAUGUUUUUUGUCGUUGCUUUUGGUGUGCCAAAUAGAACCUGUCCAGGCAGACAGACAGGUUACAAGUUCUUCACCGGCUUGACUGUGCGGAUCACUCACAUGGGAUCUGUUGUAGGCCUCCAGAUGUUAAAAUGGGUGAAAACAGGGAGGGACUGGAAUCAUAUCUCAUGACAAGAAUUGGCCUCUUGUGACUCUUGACAGCAGAAAUCGACCAUGCUAGCAAAACACAAGAGUGAGUUGAACACCCAACAUCUUAGUGCCCACAUACAACACACUAACAACCACCCAGAACACUAGCAAUCUCAUAACAAUGCAUAAAAAAACACAAAAAAGUUGCAUAGCAUUUUCUUGUUUACUAUCAAUUACCAACACAAAUGAGCUACACAGAAAAAUACGAAACACGCCCUAGCUGCUUUUGUGCACUUCUGUCCGCUGCUUCUCUGCUGUUGUUCCCUCUCUUGUUCCCUCUUAUUUUAUUGUUAUUCUUUCACGGUGAGCUCAUUCUGGGCUGUGGUUCUCAGAAGUGUAAAUUAGAUCCAGAUCCUUUCUUUCCGAGCGAGGCACGGACUGAAUCUAAUGUUCUGUUCCCUCGCUCUUGUGACUGAAAAACAGCCCACAUUGUGCAACACCACGCAGUCAUUUGCGCUGUUUAUCUCCUAUUUUUCUGGCCUGCUUUCUCACGUUCUCCAUCCAUCUUCCUUGUAUUCUCUCCUCCAGCCAGGUGUUGGAGUUUGCUCGCAGCUGCUUGACAGAUUACAUGCGGCCAGUUCGUGGUUUGGAGGUUUGUUGUGAAGCUCUGUAGCUGUGGUUGAAGUGACCUCACAGUGCUCAUUUGGACUCGCUUGUCUACUGUGUGUAGCGUGUUUGCUCUGGGCUUGGGUAUAGCUGGGUUGCGGCGUGUUUCUCGGUAAGGGCUGAAUCACUGCUGUGUUUGUCUCCGGGAUGCCAGGAUUUCUGGGCUACGGCUUUUUGGAUGCGAUUUGCUAAUGGACUUGUGUUGAUCCGCUACUCCACCGGCACGCUGGCGCGUUAAUGGAACAGCAUGUAGAAUGUACCUCAAUCAAUAGCAUCGACUGGGUCUGGGUUAUAAACGCAGAGUAAAGAGAGCGGUGGAUAUGGGCUAUUGCAUUACCGUGCGGAUCCAUUAGCGAUGUCCUCUAGAUAAGCGAGUCUGCUAGGGUGGGUCACUGAUCCUGACAUCGUCCCUCAGCGUUAGUGGAAGUGUUUCGCUGCACUUUACACAAUAGUUUAGAACACCAUAGAUUUUUUUUUUUUACACACCAGCCCCUCUGGCCUUGUUCCUUAAAUGAAUUCGAUAGACGUGUCACUGAUACAGGAAGCUUUAAUGACAGCAGACACCUGAUAUGUGUUCAGUGACAUUAUCUCAUUUAGUCUUGGCAAUUCUGCAGAACUACUAAUCUUGGUCGAUGAGGUGAUGCUGUAUUAAAAAUUGUUACAAAUUCACACAUGGAAUGACCUGAUACACAGACGAAGAACUAACAUGAAGUCACGGACACGCAUCGCUGACCUAGUGCAAGAUGAGUAUUUGUGGUCAAAAAGUCUAUCAAGUCUAUAUUUUUUUUAGAAAAUGACCAAUUGUUUUGCUAGAUAAAACCCUUAUUCCUCGACUGGGUUCUGUAGAGCACUUUGAAGCUGCAUUGGAACUGCAAUUUGGACCUUCAAAUUAAUUUCCUACUGGUUGCAUUGCCAUUGACACGUUACUACAGUAAAUCACGAGAAUUCGAAGCCCGUUCUUAGUUGUUGGAUAAAUAAAAACAGCUCAAGGAAACAUUGAGUAAUUUAUGCAUUUUACCUUGUUUCAUAAACUAACUGAUCAUGAAUGUUGUUAUACACAUAACUGUACAGCAAAGCAUUAAACUCACUUGACCCUGACCAGAGCAUAAGCCCUGAAUUGUAGACCUAAAAAACAAAUAAACAAACUAAAAUUACACGGGACAAUCCAUGAUAUAUGAUGUAUAUCCUUAAAAAUUAUAUAUAUCCUUAAAAAACCACAACAAAUUCCUUGUGUGUUUGCGCACACUUGGCGAAUAAAGCUAAUUCUGAUUCUGAAUUCUGAUUCUGCUGUUAUAGGAUUUGAACCAUUCACGUUGUAUGACUGUAAUUCCAAUGGUGUGAUCGCAUUUACUGUUGCUUUUUGAAUUUCUCAGUAUUUUUUUGGAAUUUUUAAUUUCAGUAGGAAUCUAUGAAACCUGCCAUUUUGCAUGAGGCCGAAAGAUUUUAUUAUUAAUUCUUAGAAAAAUAAUAUUAUAUUUAAAACAAAAUGUCUUCACUUCUUUUUAAUACUUAAAAAAACGUUUGCCUGCCAAAUCAAAGUCAUGUGGUGCAACCAACAAAAUAAAGUCAUAGAGUGGACCCUGUGACUGUGUGUCAAAGUUGAUAAGUCUCUUCAAAUAUUAGAUAAUUUGGCUUUUUUUUUUGACAAGGUAAGGAUAGCUCAGGUUGGAAAAUGUCUUGUGGUGUGACUCCCCAAAAAAUUGUUUAUGAAUAAAUUAUUUAUAAUAUUUGUAAAAAAUCAUUUUAAUAUACUGUUAUAUAUGAUUUGAACCAUUCACGUUGUGUGACUGUAAUUCCAAUUGUGUGAUCGCAUUUACUGUUGCUUUUUGAAUUCUCAGUAUUUUUUCAGAAUCUAUGAAACCUGAAAUUUUGCAUGAGGCCAGAAGAUUUUCCCUUGCAGAUUUUGUGAUGGGUCCAAGUAGAUCAGGCGAAUUUGUCACGUGGACCAAUAGAAAGUUGCUUGGUCAUUUUUCAUAUCAAGUAGCCCCUUCUAGUUAAGCAUGCUUGCACACUGUGUGCGAGGAAUAUUGCAAUUAUAAAGACAUAUUAUUAUAUUUGAACAAAAAUUCUUUUUUUUUAACACUUGAAAAACUUUUGAAAAACAGUCAUGUGGUGCAACCAACAAAAUUAAGUCACAGAGUGGACCCUGUGACUGUGUGUCAAAGCUGAUAAGUCUCUUAAAAUAUCAGAUAAUUUGGCUUUUUUUUUUUUGGACAAGGCAAGGAUAGCUCAUGUUGUAAAAUGUCUUGUGGUGCGACUCCUCCAAAAAUUAAUGUUUAUGAAUAAAUUAGUAAAAUUUGUACAAAAAAAUCUUUUUGCUUUGGAAAGUAAAUUUUAAAAUAAUAAUAAUAAUUAUAUAUAUAUAUAUAUAUAUAUAUAUAUAUACACACACACACAUUUUUUUUUACCUUAAUGAUUAAUAUGUAAUCAAGGUAUGAUGAAAACCUGAUGGUUACACCACAUGACAUGAUGAGGAAGUAUUUCUUAAACUAGAUUAAAAAACAGCUUCAUUUCCCUCUUUCUGAUGGGCCCCGAAUAAAACGAAAAAAACUGAAAUGCAUAAACUGAAAUUGUGUCAGUCUUUUUAGGAGGUCUUUCAAGGACAGGCGCCGUUGAACUGAUCCUCAAUCGUUGACCUGUCUGCAUGAGGUGCGUACGUGUUACCCAGUUUAGCACGACUGAUCUAGCUAAUCAUUAGCUCAGCUGACAGCAGCUAGCCACUGGCUAAUAUGCUGUCUUGGUGAUAAGGAGCUUCCUUUGGGGGUGUGAGCUAAUGGACCACCGUGAACACGGCCUGUGAGGUCGCCGUGUGUUAAGUCUGCUCAACUGAGGCUGAGUUUAAGGUGCAAUUUCUCCACUGAUUUCCCAACCCGCCCCAAGUGUGAGCGCAUACCGAUAAGAGGAUUAGCACACCUGGAAGAUUAUUGCUAACCUCUCCUCGUUCUUCAGCACAUGCGAACCGGGAAAGCGAGAAGUUGUUCAGAGUUACAGCUGCCAUCACUCCCUAGCAGACAGUUGUUGGCCAACUUUCUGGAAAGAGGAACUGGCCAGAGGAAGCAUUGGGGAUUUGCAGAGUGUCUCGCAAAAUCAAAUUUAGAUGCAAGAAAAUGUACAGUGAUUUUAAUGAGAGAAAAAGUUGUAAUAUUGUCAGCCCGGCCCAUUUAAAGUGCUGUGGCAGAUUCUGGCGCAGGUGAUAUAAUGCUUGCUAGCGUGGCAUGGUCGUCCCCAGACACGCAGUCUACUACUCUAUCAGCAGUUUCACAGGAUUGCACCAGCUCUGAGCUCAGCUCGCCCCUCUCAUCGGCUCUUCAUCUAGUCGACAAAUAUAGUGGGGAAUGGAUGUGCGGUACUAUGUGUAAAAUUAAACAAGUAAAAACACAAAGUAAAUGCAAUUAUAGGCGAUUUUCAGAAAACUGAAAUGUGAUAAUUAUGUAGGAUUUAAAUAUAACAUGCUCUGAUUGGAGAGCAGUUGGAUAGAAUUGUCUUCAUCAUACAACAAUAAACAUGACUCUUUAUUCAAUAUAAUUAUAUAACGGGUCAAUGACUGUUAUAUCAACGACAUGUAGUGUCCAUGAUAAAAUAAAAUAUACAUUUUAAAAAAUCAUAAGCCAUUCGUGUUGGUUUCAACAUAUGCCAUUCAUUCAUAGUUUUGAAGAACUUUGAUAUCAUUUUCAAGAAAUGUAAAUUUAAAUAGUUUAAAUAAUGAUUCAUCGUGUCAAAUGUUGGAACUAACAUACAAUCCAACCAGGGUUAAUAGUUAACUAAAACUAAAACUGAAACUAAAACUAAAACCAUCAACCUGAAAUAAAAGUGAUACUUGAAAUAAAAUAAACAUUAACUGAAAUGAAGCACUAAAAAAAAACUUUCCCCAAGGCAACUUUUCACAUGUUAAUUUAGUUUAACUUGAUGUACUAAAAAAUAAAUAAAACUAAAAUAAAAAUUAAUAAAAACUAUAUAGACAUAGAUAAAAAUAAAUUGAAAAAAAAAACGACUAAAAAUUACGAAAAAAGAAAAAGAAAAAAAAAGAGAGAAUAAAACCGUAACUUAAAAUGGAAAAUAUAAAAAUACAAACUGAUUCAAAAUAUAAAUAAACACAAUAAUAGUAUGUUAAUGAUGGGUCCAAUCACCAAAAUUAUGGAAAUAAUAACCUAUUUUACUUAUACCUUACACCAUAUUUAAUAGGAAAAAAAAACAAAUAUCUAUAUAUAUAUAUAUAUAUAUAUACAUACACACCACAUGACUGUCAACUGAACUGAAUUAACCUCACCUUGACAUAAAAAUGUAAAAUUAUUCUUAUUGACUUAAUCUUGUAAUGAGGCUUGCUUCUUUAAUAUAAUAUCAGUUGUAUCACUGCAUUUCUGACUUUAUGCUUCUCCAAAAAGUCUAAAUGCAUUUUAUUGUAUAAAUUGCUUUUCAUGUAAGAGGUUUAUAUUACAUUUCUUAGGUAUUUUUUAAUAAAUUAACUAAUUAAAAAUAAAUGUCAUGCCAUUGACUAAUACAACAGGCAGUCAUUUGAAAUUUAUAGAUCCCAGGCCGUGGCCUGUAACCAAAAACUGUUUAAAGAAUACAUUUUAAGGAAAAAUGCUCUGAAGGAGUGUGACCUUAUGUAUAAAAUAUUCUGCCUUAUAGAAUAUGUAGGGACUCUAGACGUCUUUUUAAAAACCUGCUGAGCAGGAGCUCGAUCAUAAGCUUUUCAUAUCUGUAUCCUGCAUGGUGACCAGAGCUAAUGAUAGAGAUCUCGAUUACACCCAAACACAUGUGGCCGGCACAGAGAGGACCCUGAAGGGUAACAGUGUACAGGCCUGUCCAAAGCAUGGCUGAAAUGUCAAGCAUGCGUUACGGUGAGACCGAGCGAAAGCGAGAUCAGGGUCAGAUCAGGGUGUGCUGACGUGUAACUCAGUGUUAUCUCGUCAACAGCAUGUCUUCUUCACCUCUACAUAUUCAGCAGUGCAGGAUGUUGCGUCUCACCUUAUCUUUGUUUGGCCUCCACUUAUUCUGAGAAAAGCAGCUGUCAGCAAUGCACACAGUACAAAUUUAGUCCUAAAUUCUGAUUAUGCUUAUCAGCAGGAGUGUUCAUAAGCAUUCAUCCUGAUAUGCAGGCCUGUAUGUGUGCUUGUUAGGGCUCUUAUGGGGCGCAUGAGCGAUAAGAAUGUAAUAGGAGAUCAAGUGGGAAUACAGCAAAUUGGAUUUAUAAAAGCAACUAGAUCAGCCUGUCUGAAAUUCUCAAUGGUCAACAGCAAAAUGACUACAUUUUUUGGUCACGUGAAGGUGCAUCACUUUUGCAAACCCUCGACGUGAUCUUUGUUGAAAUCAGUGGUUUUGGUUGAUGCAGCAUGAAGUGUUAACAUGAUGGAUCUCAUUCACUAUAUGAUCAAUCUGCAUCAACUUGCUUGUAUGUUUCAGCCAUCUGUGACUUACUUUGCACUUUCGUUCCAUCUCUGGAUCUGGUUUAGUCCCCCUGCAGCGUGCGAGCAUGUGCCCUGGAAGCCGAGCGGUCACGUACGCUGAGAGAUUCCCUGGCAGAGGCUGUGUUUGUGGCUGGGUUCAUUCCAGCUGGGGGAGAGAGUGGAGGGUUAAUGAUUAGUCUCAUGCUCUGUGUGGAUCAAGGGCAUGGGACCGUACGGGCCUCGGGCCUGGGGGAAACAAGAGAGGGAGAGAGGGAGAGGGAGCACAAACCAAAAACUCAACAGCUGAAUCACUCAUCACUUCUAUAUUCAUACUCCACUCCCGGAACAGAUCUAUAUUUACACAUCAGUACUAUGUACACCACAUUUUUUUUCCAGUAAUGAUUAUACAAUGAAUAAUUAGCCACUCUACUCUACUAUCCCUUAAAGGUAUUGUAAAUGAUUGCUUGACACAUGAAAUGUUCCUACUUCCUGACAGACAUCGCUGAAAAGAGGUCCUGAGAAAAAAGUGUGAGAACACUAGAAUGUGUAAACAACAAAAAACCCUAGUCAAUUAAAAACACUCGCUGGAUAUUUUGAAUGUUGUGUCAUUCCAAACCCGUAAGACCUUUGUUUACUUCAGAACACAAAUGAAGGUAUUUUUAAAUGAAAUCCGAAAGCUUUCUAACUCUGCGUAGACAGCAGUGCAACUGACACUUUCAAAGCCCAGAAAGGUAGUAAAAACAUUGUUAAAAUAGUCCAUGUGACAUCAAUGGUUUAACUGUAAUGUUACAAAGCUAUGAGAAUACUUUUUGUGCACAAAGAAAACAAAAAUAACGACUUGAUUCAACAAUUUCUUCUCUUCCACAUAAGCAUUUUGAAGCGUAGACAUGAGUAUCACGGGGUAGUACAUAAAACAGUCUUCGGAAACAUAUUUGAAGAUUUCGAGAGAACUUGCAGUUUGUUGCUCAGCCUUGCUUUGUCAAAACAGAAUAUGAUGAUGAAGAUAGAUGGACAUUAUACUAUACUUCAGAACACAGGCUCUUUGUGUCAACAAAACAAAAAAAUCUAGUUGUUUGUAAGAGAAACUAAAUAAAAAUAAAUCAUUGACCUACACCAAUAAUUUGAAGCUAAUUAUUAGAAUUGUAAUAUUAAUAUUAAACUACGCUGUUGAACACACACUUGCUGCCAAGCCACAAGAUUUCGCUUUGGAAAUUACCUAUUUGCUUACUAAUUUAUACCUUGAGAGUUCACCCAUUCAUUUGGAACAACAUCCUGGUUCACUUACCUUGACCUACUGUCCCAGUGUUCUUUAAAUUAGUAAUUGUUUAACAAGGGGAUAGAAAAAGUCCCACACAGUGCUAUGAAUACCAUAAGGAAUUCUGCAAGUUACAGUAGUGUGCAGGACUUUAUUGUUUAUUUUCCACAUUCAAGUCUAGUCAGUGUCCAACGCACCUGCCUACCACCAUCCAGGUGCGUAAUAGAUUUGUUUGCAUUUUUUCUGAAAAAGAAGAUCCCCUACGCACUCCAAGUGAACCAUAUUACCGCAUUCCCAGCGCAACUCGCGAGAAACUUUCCAUCUUCCAACUUAUAGUCUCUGACCUCAAUCCUGUAUUCUUUAGGGUCUUUUCUUCUCCACAUGCCUCAUCUAUCCAUGCUGUCAUUCUCUUUCAACCCCCACCCCCUCCUUCACUCUUUCUGCCAGAGAUAUGCAUGGAAUGUCAGCUCCUUAGGCUGAAUCUCGAUUCCCAUCAGGAA